rnacentral:rRNA from 1 species
ACGAACCCUGGCGGCAGGUUCUAACACAUGCAAGUCGAACGCCCCGCAAGGGGAGUGGCAGACGGGUGAGUAACGCGUGGGAACCUUCCCAAUGGUGCGGAAUAGCCCAGGGAAACUUGGAGUAAUACCGCAUAAGCCCUUAGGGGGAAAGAUUUAUCGCCAUUGGAUGGGCCCGCGUCGGAUUAGCUAGUUGGUAGGGUAACGGCCUACCAAGGCGACGAUCCGUAGCUGGUUUGAGAGAAUGACCAGCCACACUGGGACUGAGACACGGCCCAGACUCCUACGGGAGGCAGCAGUGGGGAAUCUUGGACAAUGGGCGAAAGCCUGAUCCAGCCAUGCCGCGUGAGUGACGAAGGCCUUAGGGUUGUAAAGCUCUUUUGCCGGGGACGAUAAUGACGGUACCCGGAGAAUAAGUCCCGGCUAACUUCGUGCCAGCAGCCGCGGUAAUACGAAGGGGACUAGCGUUGUUCGGAAUUACUGGGCGUAAAGCGCACGUAGGCGGAUUAUUAAGUCAGGGGUGAAAUCCCGGGGCUCAACCUCGGAACUGCCUUUGAUACUGGUAAUCUAGAGUCCGAUAGAGGUGGGUGGAAUUCCUAGUGUAGAGGUGAAAUUCGUAGAUAUUAGGAAGAACACCAGUGGCGAAGGCGGCCCAAUGGAUCGGGACUGAC